ACCUGACUGGCUCAGUCAGUAGAGCAUGUGACUCUUAAUCUUGGGGUCAUGAGUUUGAGCCCCAUGUUAAGUG
rfam:Felis catus isolate Cinnamon breed Abyssinian chromosome D1, whole genome shotgun sequence.